AUUGAACGCUGGCGGCAGGCCUAACACAUGCAAGUCGAGCGGAGCGGCGGACGGGUGGGUGAUGCCUAGGAAUCUGCCUGGUAGUGGGGGACCCCGUCCGGCAGGGUAAGCUAUUACAGCAUACUUGCAAAUCAGCCUAGGUCGGAUGAGCUAGUUGGUGGGGUAAAGGCCUACCAAGGCGACGAUCCGUAGCUGGGCUGAGAGGAUGAUCAGCCACACUGGAACUGAGACACGGUCCAGACUCCUACGGGAGGCAGCAGUGGGGAAUAUUGGACAAUGGGCGAAAGCCUGAUCCAGCAAUGCCGCGUGUGUGAAGAAGGUCUUCGGAUUGUAAAGCACUGUAAGUUGGGAGGCGUUACCAACAGAAGAAGCACCGGCUAACUCCGUGCCAGCCGCCGCGGUAAUAC
rnacentral:rRNA from 1 species